rnacentral:lncRNA from 1 species
ACAAUCUUCUCAUCAAGCUUCCUGCUCAGCUGCCAUCUUGUUCGGACAGCAAAGUAGCCUGCAUCGUUUUUGACUUCGAGGCUGUCUUUGCAAGGCUCUCUUCUUUGACGGCUUCGUCAGAAUUGGAACGAGACUCAAGAUGGCCGAUGUCUACUUAGUCGUCUACUUUGCAGUCCACGGCAAGUAUUGGAACACAGGCAAUGUUACACCUUGAUCUUUGUGCUUAAGCAAAAAAAAAGAAAGGUUUUUAUGAC